rnacentral:rRNA from 1 species
GUAUGUCCUGCCCGGUGAUCUAUUCAACGGCCGCGGUAUCCUAACCGUGCAAAGGUAGCAUAAUCAUUUGCCUAUUAAUUGUAGGCUGGAAUGAACGGAUGAACGAAGUAAGUGCUGUCUCUUUCAUUCUCCACAUAAACUAAUAUUUGAAUGAAGAAGUUCAAAUAAAAUCAGAGGACAAGAAGACCCUGUAGAGCUUUAUUUAUAUUUAAAAAUUUUAUUAAAAAUUCGGUUGGGGCGACCUAGGAAUAAUCUAAUCAUCCUACCUAUAAAGAUCUAUUAAUCUCAACAACGAUCCUUGUAAAAGAUCUAAAGACAAGCUACCUCAGGGAUAACAGGCUAAUUUUUCUUUAGAGCUCUUAUCAAAAGAAAAGGUUGGCACCUCGAUGUUGGCUUAGGGAAUCUAAAUAGCGCAAAA